GAUAAACGCUGGCGGCGUGCCUAAUACAUGCAAGUCGAGCGAACGGACGAGAAGCUUGCUUCUCUGAUGUUAGCGGCGGACGGGUGAGUAACACGUGGAUAACCUACCUAUAAGACUGGGAUAACUUCGGGAAACCGGAGCUAAUACCGGAUAAUAUUUUGAACCGCAUGGUUCAAAAGUGAAAGACGGUCUUGCUGUCACUUAUAGAUGGAUCCGCGCUGCAUUAGCUAGUUGGUAAGGUAACGGCUGACCAAGGCAACGAUGCAUAGCCGACCUGAGAGGGUGAUCGGCCACACUGGAACUGAGACACGGUCCAGACUCCUACGGGAGGCAGCAGUAGGGAAUCUUCCGCAAUGGGCGAAAGCCUGACGGAGCAACGCCGCGUGAGUGAUGAAGGUCUUCGGAUCGUAAAACUCUGUUAUUAGGGAAGAACAUAUGUGUAAGUAACUGUGCACAUCUUGACGGUACCUAAUCAGAAAGCCACGGCUAACUACGUGCCAGCAGCCGCGGUAAUACGUAGGUGGCAAGCGUUAUCCGGAAUUAUUGGGCGUAAAGCGCGCGUAGGCGGUUUUUUAAGUCUGAUGUGAAAGCCCACGGCUCAACCGUGGAGGGUCAUUGGAAACUGGAAAACUUGAGUGCAGAAGAGGAAAGUGGAAUUCCAUGUGUAGCGGUGAAAUGCGCAGAGAUAUGGAGGAACACCAGUGGCGAAGGCGACUUUCUGGUCUGUAACUGACGCUGAUGUGCGAAAGCGUGGGGAUCAAACAGGAUUAGAUACCCUGGUAGUCCACGCCGUAAACGAUGAGUGCUAAGUGUUAGGGGGUUUCCGCCCCUUAGUGCUGCAGCUAACGCAUUAAGCACUCCGCCUGGGGAGUACGACCGCAAGGUUGAAACUCAAAGGAAUUGACGGGGACCCGCACAAGCGGUGGAGCAUGUGGUUUAAUUCGAAGCAACGCGAAGAACCUUACCAAAUCUUGACAUCCUUUGACAACUCUAGAGAUAGAGCCUUCCCCUUCGGGGGACAAAGUGACAGGUGGUGCAUGGUUGUCGUCAGCUCGUGUCGUGAGAUGUUGGGUUAAGUCCCGCAACGAGCGCAACCCUUAAGCUUAGUUGCCAUCAUUAAGUUGGGCACUCUAAGUUGACUGCCGGUGACAAACCGGAGGAAGGUGGGGAUGACGUCAAAUCAUCAUGCCCCUUAUGAUUUGGGCUACACACGUGCUACAAUGGACAAUACAAAGGGCAGCGAAACCGCGAGGUCAAGCAAAUCCCAUAAAGUUGUUCUCAGUUCGGAUUGUAGUCUGCAACUCGACUACAUGAAGCUGGAAUCGCUAGUAAUCGUAGAUCAGCAUGCUACGGUGAAUACGUUCCCGGGUCU
rnacentral:rRNA from 1 species